GCCGUUGAAACUGGCGUUCUUGAGUGGGCGAGAAGUAUGCGGAAUGCGUGGUGUAGCGGUGAAAUGCAUAGAUAUCACGCAGAACUCCGAUUGCGAAGGCAGCAUACCGGCGCCCUACUGACGCUGAGGCACGAAAGCGUGGGUAUCGAACAGGAUUAGAUACCCUGGUAGUCCACGCAGUAAACGAUGAAUGCUAACUGUCCGGUGCGAGUGAGCGCUGGGCGGUACAGCGAAAGCGUUAAGCAUUCCACCUGGGGAGUACGCCGGCAACGGUGAAACUCAAAGGAAUUGACGGGGGCCCGCACAAGCGGAGGAACAUGUGGUUUAAUUCGAUGAUACGCGAGGAACCUUACCCGGGCUCAAACGCAGGCUGACGGGUCCCGAAAGGGGCCUUUCUUCGGACAUUCUGCGAGGUGCUGCAUGGUUGUCGUCAGCUCGUGCCGUGAGGUGUCGGCUUAAGUGCCAUAACGAGCGCAACCCCUGUCCACAGUUGCCAGCAGGUAAAGCUGGGGACUCUGUGGAGACUGCCGGCGCAAGCUGCGAGGAAGGCGGGGAUGACGUCAAAUCAGCACGGCCCUUACGUCCGGGGCGACACACGUGUUACAAUGGCAGGUACAGCGGGAUGCCACGGGGCGACCCGGCGCUGAACCCGAAAACCUGUCUCAGUUCGGAUUGGAGUCUGCAACCCGACUCCAUGAAGCUGGAUUCGCUAGUAAUCGCGCAUCAGCCACGGCGCGGUGAAUACGUUCCCGGGCCUUGUACACACCGCCCGUCAAGCCAUGGAAGCCGGGGGUACCUGAAGUGCGUGACCGCGAGGAGCGCCCUAGGGUAAAACCGGUGACUGGGGCUAAGUCGUAACAAGGUAGCCGUAA
rnacentral:rRNA from 1 species